rnacentral:rRNA from 1 species
GACGACGCUGGCGGCGUGCUUAACACAUGCAAGUCGAGCGAUGAAGUUUCUUCGGAAAUGGAUUAGCGGCGAACGGGUGAGGAACACGUGAAGAAUCUGCCUCCACUUUGGGAUAACACCGGGAAACCGGUGCUAAUACCGAAUAUUGAAACAUAAGUGGCAUCACUGAGUUUUGAAAGAAUUUCGGUGGAGGAUGACUUCGCGGCCUAUCAGCUAGUUGGUGAGGUAAUGGCUCACCAAGGCAACGACGGGUAGCCGGCCUGAGAGGGCGACCGGCCACACUGGGACUGAGACACGGCCCAGACUCCUACGGGAGGCAGCAGUGGGGAAUAUUGCACAAUGGGGGAAACCCUGAUGCAGCGACGCCGCGUGGAGGAAGAAGGUCUUCGGAUUGUAAACUCCUGUUGUUGAGGAAGAUAAUGACGGUACUCAACAAGGAAGUGACGGCUAACUACGUG